rnacentral:lncRNA from 1 species
UUUGGUGACAUUGGUGACACAGGGUAACCCCCGCCUGAGCAAGGAGGUUGUGGUGGACAUUGGGAAGGUGACAUUGGUGACAUUGGUGACAUUUGGUGACACUUGGUGACAUUUGGGGACAUUGGUGACAGAGGGUAACCCCUGGCUGAGCGAGGAGUUCAUGGCAGGUUGGGGACAAUGUUGAGGUGACAUUUGGUGACAUUUGGGGACAUUGGUGACAUUUGGUGACAUUGGUGCAGGGCAACCCCCAUCUGAGCAAGGAGCUCGUGGUGGGCAUUGGGGAGGUGACAUUGGUGACAUUGGUGACAUUUGGGGACAUUUGGUGACACUUGGUGACAUUUGGGGACAUUGGUGACCCAGGGUAACCCCCGGCUGAGCGAGGAGUUCGUGGCAGUUGGGGACAAUGUUGAGGUGACAUUUGGGGACAUUGGUGACAUUGGUGACAGGGUAACCCCCGUUUGAGCGAGGAGUUCGUGGCGCACCUGGAGACGGAGCUGGAGCGGUCGCGGCUGCGCGAGAGCGAAACCCUGGGAGCCCUCAAGGAGAUGCAGGACAAGGUCCUGGACAUGGAGAAGGUGACAUGGGUGGCACUGGGGUGGCCUUGGGGACAGGGAGGGACCUUGGGGACAGGGAGGGUUCCAGGAGAUGCAGGACAAGGUCCUGGACAUGGAGAAGGUGACACCGAGGGGACACCAGGGGGACACUGGGGUGGCCUUGGGGACAGGGAGCCCUCAAGGAGAUGCAGGACAAGGUCCUGGACAUGGAGAAGGUGACACCGAGGGGACACCAAGGUGGCACCAAGGACAGGGAGGGUCCCAUGGGUGGCUCUGGGGACAAGGAGUGGCCAUGGGGACACAGAGGGACCUUGGGGACAGGGAGGGUUCCAGGAGAUGCAGGACAAGGUCCUGGACAUGGAGAAGGUGACACCGAGGGGAUGCCAGGGGGACACUGGGGUGGCCAUGGGGACACAGAGGGACCUUGGGGACAGGGAGGGUUCCAGGAGAUGCAGGACAAGGUCCUGGACAUGGAAAAGGUGACACCGAGGGGACACCGGGGGGGACACCAGGGGUCCCAAUGGGAUGGAGACAGUCCCAUGGGUGGCCUUGGGGACAGGGAGGGACCUUGGGGACAAGGGGCCCUCAGGGAGAUGCAGGACAAGGUCCUGGACAUGGAGAAGGUGACACCGAGGGGACACCAGGGGGACACUGGGGUGGCACUGGGGACAAGGAGGGACCUUGGGGACAGGGAGAGACCUUGGGGACAGAGGACCCUCUGGGAGAUGCAGGACAAGGUCCUGGACAUGGAGAAGGUGACACCGAGGGGACACCAAGGUGGCACCAAGGAUAGGGAGGGUCCCAUGGGUGGCCUUGGGGACAAGGAGGGACCUUGGGGACAGGGAGAGACCUUGGGGACAAGGAGGGACCUUGGGGACAAGGGGCCCUCAAGGAGAUGCAGGACAAGGUCCUGGACAUGGAGAAGGUGACAUGGGGACACCAGGGUGACACUGGCGACAGGGAGGGACCCUGGGGACAAGGAGGGUCCCAU